rnacentral:rRNA from 1 species
AUUGAACGCUGGCGGCAUGCCUUACACAUGCAAGUCGAACGGCAGCACGGGUGCUUGCACCUGGUGGCGAGUGGCGAACGGGUGAGUAAUAUAUCGGAACGUACCCUAGAGUGGGGGAUAACGCAGCGAAAGUUGCGCUAAUACCGCAUACGAUCUACGGAUGAAAGUGGGGGAUCGCAAGACCUCAUGCUCAUGGAGCGGCCGAUAUCUGAUUAGCUAGUUGGUGGGGUAAAAGCCUACCAAGGCAUCGAUCAGUAGCUGGUCUGAGAGGACGACCAGCCACACUGGAACUGAGACACGGUCCAGACUCCUACGGGAGGCAGCAGUGGGGAAUUUUGGACAAUGGGCGCAAGCCUGAUCCAGCAAUGCCGCGUGAGUGAAGAAGGCCCUCGGGUUGUAAAGCUCUUUUGUCAGGGAAGAAACGGUGAGGGCUAAUAUCCUUUGCUAAUGACGGUACCUGAAGAAUAAGCACCGGCUAACUACGUGCCAGCAGCCGCGGUAAUACGUAGGGUGCAAGCGUUAAUCGGAAUUACUGGGCGUAAAGCGUGCGCAGGCGGUUAUGUAAGUCAGAUGUGAAAUCCCCGGGCUCAACCUGGGAAUGGCAUUUGAGACUGCAUGGCUAGAGUGUGUCAGAGGGGGGUAGAAUUCCACGUGUAGCAGUGAAAUGCGUAGAUAUGUGGAGGAAUACCGAUGGCGAAG